UUCGUUUAUCUGCCCCACGCUUUCGUCCAUCAUCCGCGCAAUGCGAGUAAGGAGUUUAUGGAGAGAGCGGGCUCGCAAAAGGACAUGGACGAGCAGAGGAUGGUCAUGGAAGCCAAGUAUGCCAUGGCCCAACGCGCCCGGGCCCAGAUCGAAGAGGUUGACGGAUCGGUGGGACGCAUACUGGACAGCCUUCGGGAACUCGGCCUGGCCGAAGAGACCAUGGUGAUAUUCACCUCUGACAACGGCGGCUCUUCGGGCAACUCCAACGCUCCCUUACGGGGCGGCAAAGGCAGUGCCUGGGAGGGCGGUGUGCGCGAGCCAACGGUAGCCUGGUGGCCCGGGACCAUCCCGGCCGGAUCGGUC
rnacentral:rRNA from 1 species